CUGCAAUAUCUUCUAAAUUUAAUUCACCAUUUUCAUGGAAAUCAUUUAUUGCCUUAUCAGGUUUAUUUUUCAAAAAGAACUUUGAAAUGUUCAUUAAAAACAUUUAAAGAAGGAUGCCUCCGAAGAGGGAAGUGCUGUGAAGAGAUAAAUGAACUAAGAUUGCGUACUAUCCGAUAUAUCACAUUUCCUCAUAAAAAAAACGAAUUAGGCAAUGCAAAUUAUUUGACUUUCAGUCCGAGGGCAAUAGUUGUGCCCCGAUGCCAAUCCCAUCUUACUUUAUCAAACACCUUCUCAAAGUCAGCAAUAAAUAAAAAAUGGAGACAUCUGUUUGAUACCCAUAAUGUCACUUCCAUUCUGCAAAGGUCAGGGGUUCGAUGAAUAAAGCAAAAUGUCAUCGGGAGAGUUGGCUUAGUACAUCCAAUCAUCCAUCCCAAUCUUCUUUACUUGUUAUAUAAAACAUUCCCUUAUAAACAAAUAAGGGAAUGCGAAUUAUUGCAGUAGUAAGGUGGGUGUGGCGGAGACACAAAGGUUUCACUUUCAGUUUCUGACGCAGCAAUUAAACGGCGCACCCUCACUCAUUAGGAAAUUCUUGGCAAAACAAACAGAAGGCUGCACAUCACGGACACUUAGACGCAAGACUCAGCUCAAGGAUCAAAUAAAGACGCCACUGAUCAGCUUACUGGAUACAGAUACAACCUCUGACAGAUUGAAGACACCAAAGAAGAGAAUGCCAGCAAAGUUGCCUUUGGACUUUAAGAAAUGGACUGUGAACAAAAUUGUGCAGUACCUUGAACAAGAAGAACUUGGACGAUGGGCAGAUAAAUUCAAAGAAAAACACAUCACUGGUGACCAACUACAAACUCUAACAGCUGCCAAUCUGGAGGAUAUGGGCAUAAAGUAAGUGUCUCCCCUUGUUAAACCACCUGAUUGUACAACCAUCUGAUUUCUUUUAGUUUUCACACCUCACUUUUCUCUUUUCAACUGAUUCCCUAUUAUACUCUUCUGUAUUU
ensembl:lncRNA